rnacentral:rRNA from 1 species
AUCAACGCUGGCGGCGUGCCUCAGACAUGCAAGUCGAACGGAUCUAUCCAACGGGUAACUGAAGGGUAGAUUAGUGGCGAACGGGUGAGGAAUACAUGGACAACGUACCCUGGACACGGGGAGUAGCGGCGGGCCGCAAGGCUCUUUAGCGAAAGUGCCGGUAAUACCCGACUGAUCCCGCAUGGUCGCAUGAUCGUGUGGGCAAAGCUCCGACGGUCUGGGAGCGGUUCAUGCCCUACUCAGCUAGUUGGUGAGGUAACGGCUCACCAAGGCGGCGACGGGUACCGGGCGUGAGAGCGUGACCCGGCACAUCGGAACUGAGA